ACGCUCGACACCUACGGGAGGCAGCAGUGGGGAAUAUUGCACAAUGGGGGAAACCCUGAUGCAGCGACGCCGCGUGAGCGAAGAAGUAUCUCGGUAUGUAAAGCUCUAUCAGCAGGGAAGAAGAUGACGGUACCUGACUAAGAAGCACCGGCUAAAUACGUUCCAGCAGCCGCGGUAAUCUGAGCGGGCUGGCAAGGC
rnacentral:rRNA from 1 species